CCUUUUCCUGGUUUGGUUAUUUGUUAAAGAUGAACAUUUGGGUUUUACGCUUUUAUUGACAGGACAGCUUCAGGGAUAAGAACUGAGGGGAGAGUGGAGGAGUCAUACACUGAAUCAUGUUGGACUGAGAACUGAUCCUCCGACCAGCAGGACCAGGACUGUAUCUUCUGUGCAUGCAGCACCUCUUCAGACGUAUUGGUCCCUGCCGAGGGGAGGGCUGCAGGACAGAUUGACAAGCUGCGGACUGAAGAGGCAGGAAGCUCACCUUAUUAGGAGUCAACAGGAGGACAGACAGCGAAACUAUCAGCUUCUUACAAGCUGAACGAGGCGACCAUGAGAGGGGGACUGAGGUAAACUCCAGAGAAACACGGUGAGCUGAAGGAGACGAUGAAGUGAACUCAUGGAGCGUUAGCCUUCUCUCUGGAUCUGCAUGUGUGCAACAAACCGUCCUGCUCACCAGGUCAGUGUUCCCUUAAUAUACACAACCUGAUCUCCACUUCUGCCUGUCCUCCUCCUGAGCAUGCACAAAGGGUUAUAUUUCACAAUAAGGAAGAAGAGAAGAAGUCAGUGCAUGAAGUACAUACUGCGCUGCUGCUGCUUCAUCAUGAACUCUGAGUUUACUUUAUGUUUCUGUAUGACCUGCAUGGAUUCACUCUGCUGAUGUUUGUCCAGCUUCCUGUGAGUUCAAUUAAAUCCUGCACACACGCAC